UACGGAGGGUGCGAGCGUUGUCCGGAAUUAUUGGGCGUAAAGCGCACGUAGGCGGUCCGUUAAGUCGGAUGUGAAAGCCCCCGGCUCAACCGGGGAAGUGCAUCCGAAACUGGCGGGCUAGAGUACGAAAGAGGGUCGCGGAAUUCCCGGUGUAGAGGUGAAAUUCGUAGAUAUCGGGAGGAACACCGGUGGCGAAGGCGGCGACCUGGGUCGAUACUGACGCUGAGGUGCGAAAGCGUGGGGAGCAAACAGG
rnacentral:rRNA from 1 species